rnacentral:rRNA from 1 species
AUUGAACGCUGGCGGCAGGCCUAACACAUGCAAGUCGAGCGGAUGACGGGAGCUUGCUCCUUGAUUCAGCGGCGGACGGGUGAGUAAUGCCUAGGAAUCUGCCUGGUAGUGGGGGACAACGUUUCGAAAGGAACGCUAAUACCGCAUACGUCCUACGGGAGAAAGCAGGGGACCUUCGGGCCUUGCGCUAUCAGAUGAGCCUAGGUCGGAUUAGCUAGUUGGUGGGGUAAUGGCUCACCAAGGCGACGAUCCGUAACUGGUCUGAGAGGAUGAUCAGUCACACUGGAACUGAGACACGGUCCAGACUCCUACGGGAGGCAGCAGUGGGGAAUAUUGGACAAUGGGCGAAAGCCUGAUUCAGCCAUGCCGCGUGUGUGAAGAAGGUCUUCGGAUUGUAAAGCACUUUAAGUUGGGAGGAAGGGCAGUAAGCUAAUACCUUGCUGUUUUGACGUUACCGACAGAAUAAGCACCGGCUAACUCUGUGCCAGCAGCCGCAGUAAUAC